CGCAGACGCAUUCUCGCCUUGGGCUGGGAAUCUUUGAGGGUUGGAGGCUUGAGGUACAAGAAUUUGGGUCUGUGCAGAGACCACCAUCACCUCUUCUGGCCAGUGAAGCUGCCCAUCACCCUGACCCUAGCAUCCUCUGUCAGUAGAGGAUAGAGAAACUAUGCUUGUCAAAGAGAGCCCUCAGCUCCUGCCAGCCUCAGACUGCUCAUAAGGGCAAAGUGGGAAGGAAACUUGUUACCAAC
rnacentral:lncRNA from 1 species